GUGCAGAACUAAUAGACAACAUGAAGAGACAUGGGCCAGAAUGUACUGUAGGUUUUCAUUAAAAGAGAAGCCAGUUCAGCCUAACAUAGUUUUACACAUUAUGGACAGUUUACAAGAAGACAAACCACCUUUUUUAUUCCACGCAUUCUUUGUCAAAGCCUGUUGCCUACAUUACCCACAAUCCAACCUUGACCUCUGAACACUUUGGUGGGCCUGGUCUCACUCUCAACUUGUCACAUAGUGCUGCUUUGUCAGGACUCCUUGGGGUCGCAAACUAGAUGUAGUUUAGGGCCAUUUUUCAGUACAAUAACUGUAAAUACUAUGCUGUUAUUCUGAUACACCUAUAACAAUCAGAAAUAGAUACCUUGAGUCCAUAGCCAAAUGUUCUCUGCUGUCGCUCCUUUUCUGGUAACAAGAAAUUUGCUCAUAAUGUGACUAAUGUUGUCAAAGUGUGUAUUACAGUCCAACCCAAUUCUUGUUCUUAAUCAAGGAUUUUUCCAUUAGAUUAACCAAACAUUGAGUGAAAAGGAAACUUAAGUAGCAAAAUCAAAUGAAAUAAGUGAAAAAAUAUUUGCCCAACAUGGAUCACACAUCAAUGACUCUCUUUUAUACUGGAAAGACUCCUACAUGUCUGUCGCUGAAUAUUGGCAAGGAUUGCAAAAGGACGCCUUGUGAAUAUCUGUCCUAUAUAUGUGGCUUUCGCUAAAGUUCAGUAUCUGACAGCCAUGGAAUAACAAUGGGUUGGUUUGGUAGAUAUUUUGAAGGUGUUGUUCCAGUGAUGGCUGAUGUAGCUUCAAACAGUAGCCUCAAACAUCUGAGGUCAAAGGUAUAGGUACAAACCUCCUUCUAAUUUCUAUCUUUUACCAUUUUUAAAUUUGUACUCUCUUGUGCUGCUGACUGAAGUGACAUAACUUCACACAAUUUAUGCAGAGCUCACUGUUAAGUCUCAGAAAACAUUUUAGCUAAACACUCAUUUACAUGUACUAUCCAAAGCUUACGGAUGCUUUCUUUUCAUACAGUUAAUGCCACAUCUACACAUUGUUCUCAGUCGUGAGCCGUGUGUGAGCAUUGUUUGUACCUGACUGUCCAGGCCCAGCAUCAUGAGCAUGGAGAAGAAGAGGAUGGCCCAUAGAGAGGACAUGGGCAGCUGGGUGACUGCCUGAGGUCUUUAAACUAAAGAGUACCUGAUGCUGCCAGUUCCUGCACAGGUUUCUUAGUGAUGUAAGACAUGAAGCCAACGAUGGAGAAGAUGACAAAUCCAGCAAACAUGCUGGUGCAGGAGUUGAUGCAGCAAACUAUGAUGGAGUCCCUGAAGAGAAAACAUCAGAAUGAACGCUUGGGAGCAAAUAAGAUGAAGAAUUACUUAUAAAGCUUUGAUUUCUGAUGUGUACUUGUAGACGUCGUUGUUGUAUGUGUUGUAGCUGCCCAGUGCGAUGAGCGAGCCCAGGCCCAGUCCGUAGGAAAAGAAAAUCUGAGUAGCUGCAUCCAACCACACCUGGGAGACAAAUCAUACAUACAUGUGCACCUGAUUUUUCAUGGACAGGUUGGUGCGAUUAGAUGCAGAUGGUUGGAAACUGUGUACCUCUGAUCGGAUGAGCUUAUUGAAGUCGGGCGUUAUGUAGAAGAGGAUCCCAUCGAUGGCUCCAGGAAGUGUGACCCCUCGAAAGAACAGGAUGAACAGCAUGAAGUAGGGAUAGGUGGCUGAGAAAUACACCACCUGAGAGAGAAAGAGAGAGAACAAUUUAUGUUUAUUCAAAAUGGAGCAUGUAUUGGCACUUAUGUGUGUCUGUGCUGCACUAUUUGUACAUACUGUCUACGAGUUUUACCAUGGGGAUCGAAUUUUUCUUUUCAAGCUAAACACAAUUCCCUUCACUUUUAACCCCCAAAACCAGCCAGUAGAUUUGAAAGGCAUGAUGUAUUUAAAAAAUUGCCAAAAUGACAUCAAUUAUCAGCUAAAUUGCAACCAUAAACUACUAAAUAGAGAAUAGGAAUGCCUGAAUUGAGAGCACAAAUGGCUAAACUAAGAGCAGGAAUCACUGAAUUAAGUCCUUGAAUUACUAAUUCAAGAACAGGAAAGACUAAAUCAAGAGCCUGAAUUAGUGAAUCCAGAACCCAAAUUACUAAAUAGAGCGCCUAAAUUGCUGAGAUACCCUGAAAAGACUUUUUGGCUGAACUGCAGGUUGUAUUUCCACAGAGCAGAUAGGAAACAAGCAAAACAUCUAUAGCAUGAAGAGUUACUCUUUUCCAGUAUUGGUAACACUGUAUUUUGAAAAAUGUGCUUGUUGGUAACAGUUUUGAGUUCAUAUUCUAGUGAAAAAUGAGCCCACAUUGAAUAAAAAUGUGACAGGAGCAAAACAAAUGCUCAGAAACUGCUUUGAGUUCAGAGGGUUAAAUAGUAAGUCUAAUAAUAAGUCCAAAAGAGAUGCAAAAUCCCCGUCGCCACAGUGUGCACAGAGAGACAGCUACUAAAAUAUUUCCAUAGCCUCUCUUUGCCAGCAGAUCUGUAUAAUGUGUCCUGCAGUUCUGUAGCAUAAUGAUUAUGCUUAAUUGGUAAUGUCCGUCAAGGCCAGGGCCUUGGGGGAAUUCAUUUUUCUCACUGCUCUCAGAUGCCACACAUUAAAAUCCAAUUAUCCCUGGCAGGGAAUGUGUAAAUGUGUUUCAUCUCAUAUACUUUGCCUCGACUUGCUAUAAUUUAAAAAUCCCAAGCAGCAGGCAGAAGGAUGUUUGUUUUUUUAAAAUUCUGUAACUCUUUUCCGAUCCACUCUAACUCCUCCAGCUGUUUGGGAUAUAAUAAUACAUUUUGAACCAAUUUAAUUCCCACCUGAGUGCAAUGUUGAAAGAGAGACUGUAAACAGCAAACAUAUGAACAUCUGAGGAGAAUAAAUAAAAGUAGUAUCUCCAUCACAUUAAAGAAAACAAACUUUGAGUUGUUGUUUGAUUCUGUGGAACCAAUUAGCACGUGGCCUUCUCUGUUCUGAUGAGAAUUCAUAAUGUGACACUUUGAACACAGUGAAUCUGACAUGAAGGGUUAAAUAUCAUCAGUAUUUUAAAAAAACCAUGCAAUCAGCAAAUCAUAGAGGGGCUAAAUACACGAACAAAAAGACUUUGCCAGGAAUGAUACAGAUAGAAUAGCCAAUAAAUUAAUUUAAAAAUGUAAAAUGUACAAUACAUUAUUAAUAGAGGUAUUGUGAUGUACCAGUAUUGACUGUUGCCAUGUUGUUGUAAAAUAUGAAAUACUGAUAAAAUGUUAAUAAUAAAAGACUUUCUCGACCUUC